UAGGGAUUCGUUUUUGUAUGGACCGACCUUUUCUUUUUAUAUAUAUAAUUUUCAAUUAUAGAUUCAAAUUUCCUACAGCUAGUUGUUUGUUGUUUCUAUAGACAUGGAAUUAACAAGAAGUGGGUCUUGUGUUAUUCCAAAAAUGAUUUUAAUAAAGUUAUGGAAGUCCUUAUUUACAGAUACGAGUUUUACUGUCCUAUGCUUUUUUCUCAGUUCACCACCGAGUUCAUAAAAAUCUAACAGAACAUUCAAUUAUAAUUAGAGAAGUAAAAUACAUAAAUGGAGAAGCUAUAAACAUAGUGUUUCAUAUCGAUGCAUUAAUAACAUCAAUGCAAUGCAAUGCAAUGCAAUGCAAAAGCAAGUCGUCUCACCACAAACUCCGGGUAGCAUUGCGAUGUGUCAACAUAUUAUCCGAAAGAAACUGAAAUUUGUCCAUCCAGCAUAACUGCAAAAGCACAAAAAGUUUCAGGCCC
rnacentral:lncRNA from 1 species